ensembl:snRNA U6 U6 spliceosomal RNA
GUGCUCGCUUCAGCAGCGCAUAUACUAAAAUUGGAACGAUACAGAGGAGAUUAGCAUGGCCCCUGCGCAAGGAUGACACACAAAUUCGUGAAGCGUUCCAUAUCUUA